GAUGAACGCUGGCGGCGUGCCUAAUACAUGCAAGUCGAGCGAACAGACGAGGAGCUUGCUCCUCUGACGUUAGCGGCGGACGGGUGAGUAACACGUGGAUAACCUACCUAUAAGACUGGGAUAACUUCGGGAAACCGGAGCUAAUACCGGAUAACAUGUUGAACCGCAUGGUUCAACAGUGAAAGACGGUCUUGCUGUCACUUAUAGAUGGAUCCGCGCCGCAUUAGCUAGUUGGUAAGGUAACGGCUUACCAAGGCAACGAUGCGUAGCCGACCUGAGUGGGUGAUCGGCCACACUGGAACUGAGACACGGUCCAGACUCCUACGGGAGGCAGCAGUAGGGAAUCUUCCGCAAUGGGCGAAAGCCUGACGGAGCAACGCCGCGUGAGUGAAGAAGGUCUUCGGAUCGUAAAACUCUGUUAUUAGGGAAGAACAAAUGUGUAAGUAACUAUGCACGUCUUGACGGUACCUAAUCAGAAAGCCACGGCUAACUACGUG
rnacentral:rRNA from 1 species